CAAGAGCUCUGAGGCAUAAGUGGUUCUCUCAAUUACAGAAAAGACAUUCCUUCUCAUGCAGAUUCAGAGUAAUCCUGUCAUGGUCUGGUGCUGAGCAUCAUCACUCCCUGAGUUCUAGGCUGCCCAGAAGACUGGAACGACUUCAAAGAGGAAUGUGGGACUGAGGCAGCAAUACCGAGGAAGCCCCAGGCUGCCAGGAAGUUUGACCAGCGUUGGAACAGCAGGUCUGGACAGCAUACAGAAGGAGAAUGUAAAAACAAGAGACUUUCCCAAGGGCUUCUUCUGGGAGCUGGAAAAUAACUGACAUCAAGUAAAUAUACAUUUAUAAAUAAAGAGGAUUCAGGGAAGGUGAGUAGGGUAGUA
rnacentral:lncRNA from 1 species